UACGUAGGUGGCAAGCGUUGUCCGGAUUUAUUGGGCGUAAAGCGCGCGCAGGCGGUUCGAAAAGUCCAUGGUGAAGCGCCUGGCUCAACUGGGCGAGUGCCGUGGGACUGUCGAGCUGGAGGGAAGCAGAGGCGAGUGGAAUUCCGGGUGUAGUGGUGAAAUGCGUAGAGAUCCGGAGGAACACCAGUGGCGAAGGCGGCUCGCUGGCUUUACCUGACGCUGAGGCGCGAAAGCGUGGGGAGCGAACCGGGAU
rnacentral:rRNA from 1 species